rnacentral:rRNA from 1 species
GCUUGCUCUCGGGUGACGAGCGGCGGACGGGUGAGUAAUGUCUGGGAAACUGCCUGAUGGAGGGGGAUAACUACUGGAAACGGUAGCUAAUACCGCAUAACGUCGCAAGACCAAAGUGGGGGACCUUCGGGCCUCAUGCCAUCAGAUGUGCCCAGAUGGGAUUAGCUAGUAGGUGGGGUAACGGCUCACCUAGGCGACGAUCCCUAGCUGGUCUGAGAGGAUGACCAGCCACACUGGAACUGAGACACGGUCCAGACUCCUACGGGAGGCAGCAGUGGGGAAUAUUGCACAAUGGGCGCAAGCCUGAUGCAGCCAUGCCGCGUGUAUGAAGAAGGCCUUCGGGUUGUAAAGUACUUUCAGCGGGGAGGAAGGCGAUAAGGUUAAUAACCUUGUCGAUUGACGUUACCCGCAGAAGAAGCACCGGCUAACUCCGUGCCAGCAGCCGCGGUAAUACGGAGGGUGCAAGCGUUAAUCGGAAUUACUGGGCGUAAAGCGCACGCAGGCGGUCUGUCAAGUCGGAUGUGAAAUCCCCGGGCUCAACCUGGGAACUGCAUUCGAAACUGGCAGGCUAGAGUCUUGUAGAGGGGGGUAGAAUUCCAGGUGUAGCGGUGAAAUGCGUAGAGAUCUGGAGGAAUACCGGUGGCGAAGGCGGCCCCCUGGACAAAGACUGACGCUCACGUGCGAAAGCGUGGGGAGCAAACAGGAUUAGAUACCCUGGUAGUCCACGCCGUAAACGAUGUCGAUUUGGAGGUUGUGCCCUUGAGGCGUGGCUUCCGGAGCUAACGCGUUAAAUCGACCGCCUGGGGAGUACGGCCGCAAGGUUAAAACUCAAAUGAAUUGACGGGGGCCCGCACAAGCGGUGGAGCAUGUGGUUUAAUUCGAUGCAACGCGAAGAACCUUACCUGGUCUUGACAUCCACAGAACUUAGCAGAGAUGGUUUGGUGCCUUCGGGAACUGUGAGACAGGUGCUGCAUGGCUGUCGUCAGCUCGUGUUGUGAAAUGUUGGGUUAAGUCCCGCAACGAGCGCAACCCUUAUCCUUUGUUGCCAGCGGUUCGGCCGGGAACUCAAAGGAGACUGCCAGUGAUAAACUGGAGGAAGGUGGGGAUGACGUCAAGUCAUCAUGGCCCUUACGACCAGGGCUACACACGUGCUACAAUGGCAUAUACAAAGAGAAGCGACCUCGCGAGAGCAAGCGGACCUCAUAAAGUAUGUCGUAGUCCGGAUUGGAGUCUGCAACUCGACUCCAUGAAGUCGGAAUCGCUAGUAAUCGUAGAUCAGAAUGCUACGGUGAAUACGUUCCCGGGCCUUGUACACACCGCCCGUCACACCAUGGGAGUGGGUUGCAAAAGAAGUAGGUAGCUUAACCUUCGGGAGGG